ensembl:snoRNA
UUUGACCUAAAUCAAGACCAGCAGUUGGCUGAAGCUGUUGGUUUCAAGCAGGAUCCUAAAGAAAUGUUGGGCUGGGGUGUGGCCCAGUGGUGGAGCACUUGGACAGCACGUGCAAGGCCCUGCCUGGUUCAAUCGCCAGCACCACAA